CCCCGGGGGGGUCCCCGCCGCCGCCCCCCCGCCCGCGGGGUCCCUCGGCGGUGGCGCGGCCCUGGCGCGGCCGCUGCCGGGCGCGGUGCGGCGGGGUCGGUCCUGGCGGGGCAGGAGGCGCCGGCGGGUGGAUUCUCCCCGAACGGAGAAAAACUGCGAUGGAACGAGACAAAGGUGACCGCGGCCCGCGGUGGCGGGGAUCGCACCCGCGCCUCGGCGCGCGCAGAUCUGCUGGGCUGGAAGACACUUUGUAAAAAAAGAUGGUGAAUAACUAAUCACGCCUAAUGACUAGUAAUUCCCGGUUUAGUCACAAUAAUUCCCUGCAGUACUAUACAUGCCGAGCAUCAUCGGCACACCGGUCCUUCCACGUCUCUUUAAAUCGCGCUGGAGUUUGGACCGGCAGAAUUUACGUGAGCCAGGAACCACACGUGGGGCUCUGCUUCCAGGUGCGUGGAUGCAUCCCUGCCACGCUCCCAGCCCCGGUGAGCAGCCUCCCGCAAGCCACAGGCGUACCCUUGGAUUUUGUUACAGAGAGAAAAGGCUGCGGGUUCUACCCGGAAAGGGAAAGUGUAUGGAAGUUGGGAAGAAGAGGGACUGGCUGGACCGAAGAGUGGCCAGAGAAAGACCGAGGGGUCUUUUCCCUCCAGCCCUGCAGAGGAGAUGCCGGCUGUGCCAGGGCUUAGGCAAGGCCAGCCUGGCAAAGUGUCUCCAAAUCCCAGCACAAUUCUUCCGGACCGGAAAGUUGCUGAAAAUCAGAGUAUCUGGUAAUACAUGCACUGCCGAGCUGGGGAGGGACACAGUGGAUUUAUAAUGCAGCAGACAGAAGAAGCACAGAUGUGUUGAGAGAGAGAGAUACUAAUUGCUUACAUAUUUAAAACAGCAUCUUUAGUCUGAAUGGGAGAAACCAUUAAGCAAAACAGAGCUAUUAACUGGGGCCACUUGGAAAGCUGCCAUUUUCCCUUCUGUGCACGGCUUUUUGCAUCAAUACAAAAGUACCUCGCUCAGGGCACGAUGUGCUGUCAGUGCUGUGUGAUUCCUACCGAGGAUGCCAAGGUGCUUUGCACUGGGGUAAGGGUGUCCAUACGUACAGGGAUGCAUGAUGCUGGUGCUGUGUACGGGAAGGCAGAAUCAGCAGAAGACUUUUUACCUGGGUUCAAUGGUGGAAGGAGCACGUUAUGGCCCAUGUGCUUUCCCGAGUAUUCUGAAACUCUUGUCGAAAGAGGAGACAAACAAAUCACUGCUACGUUUAUAGAUAAAAAUUGCAACAUAGUUGCCAAUCACGGUGGCGAUGUGCAAGAACGCAAAUCUCGAUCGAGGCUGAGCAAUAAGCGAGGGGAUCGUUCAGCGCGUGAUGGGAGUUGGUUUGCCUGGAUGAGAACUCUUGCAGGUGCAGGGACAUCCUAUUUGCUGAGAUGCUGCUUCUGCUGAGUAGCUUGCCUUAAAAGACACGCUGGGAUUUGACUCUGCUCUUGCAGAGUCAAUGGGAAUGCUGCUACUAACCGAAAUGAUAAACAGCCCUCCUUGCAGGGGAAAUUUGCCAUUGGAAGGAAGACUCCAAGUCUAUCAUAUUCUUUAUACCCGGAGUGGUAUAGCAGCAACGAGAAAGCUUUGGUGGUUCAGAAGAAAAGGAGAAGAAAAUUAAACAGUAUUAAUUUCAAGCUCUAUUAGGAUUUUAGGAAAGUAAAAUCAACAGAAAGGGAUGGACUCGGUAGGGAACAUGACCUUAUUUUCCCAGUGUCUGAAGGGGAACUGCACACAAUAGAGAGACAAAAAUACUCACAUCUAUAAAACCAGAUCAGUUUCUUUGAUGUUGAAGAAGAGAAGUUAAAACGCUUACAUAAACUGGCAUAAUUUGACUGGUGUUUAUGAGAAGUGUCCUAAAGAGAAAAAGAGCAAAAGAAAAAAACCUCCCAAACAACCCAAAAAUCCCCAACCCCAUCCCCAUCCAUUAGUCCUUUCUAUUUCUUUCUCUUCUGCAGUAAAUUGCAAAACUGGUGUGAUCCAUGCAACAUUUCAUCAAAUACAACUCACCAUUGUCAGAGCAAAGUGUUUGAUAUAAAACAAGAAUGAUCCUUCUUUCUUUUUGGUCAGAUUGGUUUGGAUUAAUAAAAAUGCCACAUCACAAUGAUAUUGAUAAUUUGCAUGUGAAAAGCCUUCCUCCUGGUAAUGAAAACAAUUUUUCAGUUUUGCCACCACUAGUCGCAAGAGAUAAGGUCUGCUGUCCUCCCUCUCACAAUUAACCACGCACACACAAAAAAAGGAAAAGGUAGAAUAUGUAUGACAAUUGCAAAUUGCCUGUUAUCUGAACCUGAUGGUGAAGUAUUGAUAUUGCCAGUUGUAGCGGCACAGCUGGCACGCUUUUACAGCCUGGCCGUGUGUGUGUGCCAAGCUGGGCACCUCCAUGUUGGGAAGGCAGAGUAGAGUAUGUGUCUGUACGAAGCUUUUAUACCAUAUUCAUGGCAUUUUUUGGGGAAAAAAACCCUAAAACAAGUUUACACACACACACACACACACACACGCCCACCCCUUUUAUGAUUAGCAAGCCACAGGGUGGCAGUGCUGUGUGCACACGUGUGUAUAUGUGCACACACACGACCAGGGGAACCCUCUGUUUGGGGGGUGUCUCAAACCUGGGUAUGUUUUGCUCAUCCUUGAUACGCCGAAGGACACCGUAGUGCCCAAGGCAGAAGAAGGCAGGAGGAGAAAGAGCCGAAAGAUGCUUCAGCUUUGAAGAGUGUAGAUGAUUGUUGUGGUCAUUGCAUUUCCAUCCAGCGGUGCAGAACCCAGCAGCCAGGAGGUGCCCGAAGGUCAAUGCCGGUGUGGGCACUCCGGACUGAUCCAAGCCGGCCCAGCCUUGCCUGCAGACCUGCACUUGCAGCCUGUGUCUUGCACGGUCAUCAGAGGAGCAAAGAAGCCCUUUGCUGACAUUCCUGUGUAUUGGGUUUGGUGGCAGGGUUUGCGCAGCAGGGGGGCUAUGCAGGUGGCUUCUCUGAGAAGCUGCCAGAAGGUUUCCCUGGUGCCAAUGGAGCCUCGACGGACCCGCUGCUGGCCAUGGCCAAAUGAUAAUAAAUUGCACUGAUUUCCCCACUUUGGGUCUGUUUUCCCGGUGACGGUGACUGCUGAGCGAUGUCCCUGCCCUGCCCUCCCCAGGAGCCUCUCGUUCUGUUUCCUCUCCCUGGGCAGGGACAGAGCGGCUGGGUGGGCACCGGGCGUCCGGCCAGGGUCAGCCCACCACAUCCUGAAACAGAAAGAGCACAAGAUACCUGCCCUGUUCCCUACCUCCACCCUGGCCCACGUCGCCCUUGCUCUUCCUACCCCGCAGAGACAUAAUUGCAAGGCCGUAUUUUCAGUGGCUCAGGAUGUGCACGUGUGCUCGGCGCGUAUGGAGCACGUGCAUUGCUUGCAUAUGACCUGCAAUGAUCUGCAUUUAACAACGCACCCCCCCAAGACCAUUCCAAACUGGUAAGUAUUUCUCACUUGUAAUGGUAGAGUUUAAGUUAACAGAUACAGGUUUCAGAUGCCAAAUUGAGACCUUCAGUUUUGAAUUUUGCCUCUUAGCUCUGUUCAAAGCUGCUAAAACGUGGCAUUUCUUUUAGGUUUGUUUCUGCAGGACACCUUCAUCACGGUACUCCUGUCUGCAUUUCAUGACCCUUAAAGCACAGGUCAUACCUGACUCCAGUUUUGGCCUGUUUCAAGGUGACAGGUUUGAUUAAUCUUGUCCUAUACUUGACAGAAACCCAAUUAAUUACUCUCCACAACUGUGUUGAGGAGGUAAAUCUACCUAGUUUGGAUAAACAAGCCUACAUGCAGGAUGAAGAAAUAAGCUGUGCAUGGGCACCACGAUGUAUGAGAGGGGGGUUCUUGCAAGAUUAGCUUAAGAUUUCAGAUUGUUUCUGCCUGUGAGAAGUCAGAGUGAAAAAGAAGGCUGCAGAAAAUGCCACAGGAAUAGAUAAAGAAGAAGAAAUCUUUAUAACCCUCCUUUGGGGCCAUCCAAGACAGUGCUGCUAACCACUCAAAAAUCUAUCACCUUAGUGAUAAGCACACCUGAGAAAACCUGCAGGAAGGCUGCCUUGCUUUUUCCUGGUCUUCUUAUGGUUCUUUGGAAAAUUUUGAUCUGAAUCUUUGCAAAAUGUGCAGAUGACAACAGCAAUUAAAACAAUAAAAAAAAAAAAAAGAGAAAAAAACCCGCGUGCACACAUGGUCCUUGCAAAUGAGAACUUUUCUGCAAGGAAAAAACAUGAGAUGCAACAAUAUGUUCCAUUUAGCAAAAAUUACAAAAUCUUAAGGGGUAACAUCAAGAAUGUAACUUUUUCUUCUCUCCACCUCUCGCUAACAGCUAAAAAAACUGCUGUGCAAAAGGCCGUUAAUGAAAAA